UCAUCUCCGGGGGUAGAGCACUGUUUCGGCUAGGGGGCCAUCCCGGCUUACCAACCCGAUGCAAACUGCGAAUACCGGAGAAUGUUAUCACGGGAGACACACGGCGGGUGCUAACGUCCGUCGUGAAGAGGGAAACAACCCAGACCGCCAGCUAAGGUCCCAAAGUCAUGGUUAAGUGGGAAACGAUGUGGGAAGGCCCAGACAGCCAGGAUGUUGGCUUAGAAGCAGCCAUCAUUUAAAGAAAGCGUAAUAGCUCACUGGUCGAGUCGGCCUGCGCGGAAGAUGUAACGGGGCUAAACCAUGCACCGAAGCUGCGGCAGCGACACUCAGGUGUUGUUGGGUAGGGGAGCGUUCUGUAAGCCUGCGAAGGUGGCCUGUGAGGGUUGCUGGAGGUAUCAGAAGUGCGAAUGCUGACAUAAGUAACGAUAAAGCGGGUGAAAAGCCCGCUCGCCGGAAGACCAAGGGUUCCUGUCCAACGUUAAUCGGGGCAGGGUGAGUCGACCCCUAAGGCGAGGCCGAAAGGCGUAGUCGAUGGGAAACGGGUUAAUAUUCCCGUACUUGGUGUUACUGCGAAGGGGGGACGGAGAAGGCUAUGUUGGCCGGGCGACGGUUGUCCCGGUUUAAGCGUGUAGGUGUGUGUUCCAGGUAAAUCCGGUUCACUUUAACACUGAGGCGUGAUGACGAGGCACUACGGUGCUGAAGCAACAAAUGCCCUGCUUCCAGGAAAAGCCUCUAAGCAUCAGGUAACAUCAAAUCGUACCCCAAACCGACACAGGUGGUCAGGUAGAGAAUACCAAGGCGCUUGAGAGAACUCGGGUGAAGGAACUAGGCAAAAUGGUGCCGUAACUUCGGGAGAAGGCACGCUGACACGUAGGUGAAGUGAUUUACUCAUGGAGCUGAAGUCAGUCGAAGAUACCAGCUGGCUGCAACUGUUUAUUAAAAACACAGCACUGUGCAAACACGAAAGUGGACGUAUACGGUGUGACGCCUGCCCGGUGCCGGAAGGUUAAUUGAUGGGGUCAGCGCAAGCGAAGCUCCUGAUCGAAGCCCCGGUAAACGGCGGCCGUAACUAUAACGGUCCUAAGGUAGCGAAAUUCCUUGUCGGGUAAGUUCCGACCUGCACGAAUGGCGUAAUGAUGGCCAGGCUGUCUCCACCCGAGACUCAGUGAAAUUGAACUCGCUGUGAAGAUGCAGUGUACCCGCGGCAAGACGGAAAGACCCCGUGAACCUUUACUAUAGCUUGACACUGAACAUUGAGCCUUGAUGUGUAGGAUAGGUGGGAGGCUUUGAAGUGUGGACGCCAGUCUGCAUGGAGCCGACCUUGAAAUACCACCCUUUAAUGUUUGAUGUUCUAACGUGGACCCGUGAUCCGGGUUGCGGACAGUGUCUGGUGGGUAGUUUGACUGGGGCGGUCUCCUCCUAAAGAGUAACGGAGGAGCACGAAGGUUGGCUAAUCCUGGUCGGACAUCAGGAGGUUAGUGCAAUGGCAUAAGCCAGCUUGACUGCGAGCGUGACGGCGCGAGCAGGUGCGAAAGCAGGUCAUAGUGAUCCGGUGGUUCUGAAUGGAAGGGCCAUCGCUCAACGGAUAAAAGGUACUCCGGGGAUAACAGGCUGAUACCGCCCAAGAGUUCAUAUCGACGGCGGUGUUUGGCACCUCGAUGUCGGCUCAUCACAUCCUGGGGCUGAAGUAGGUCCCAAGGGUAUGGCUGUUCGCCAUUUAAAGUGGUACGCGAGCUGGGUUUAGAACGUCGUGAGACAGUUCGGUCCCUAUCUGCCGUGGGCGCUGGAGAACUGAGGGGGGCUGCUCCUAGUACGAGAGGACCGGAGUGGACGCAUCACUGGUGUUCGGGUUGUCAUGCCAAUGGCACUGCCCGGUAGCUAAAUGCGGAAGAGAUAAGUGCUGAAAGCAUCUAAGCACGAAACUUGCCCCGA
rnacentral:rRNA from 1 species